rnacentral:rRNA from 1 species
UACGAAGGGGGCUAGCGUUGUUCGGAAUCACUGGGCGUAAAGCGCACGCAGGCGGAUUGAUAAGUCAGGGGUGAAAUCCCGGAGCUCAACUUCGGAAUUGCCUUUGAUACUGUCUGUCUUGAGUCCGGGAGAGGUGAGUGGAAUUCCUAGUGUAGAGGUGAAAUUCGUAGAUAUUAGGAAGAACACCAGUGGCGAAGGCGGCUCACUGGCCCGGUACUGACGCUCAUGUGCGAAAGCGUGG